GGCCUUACAAUAAUUUUGACAGGUAUAAAAGAGACGAAGGCCCAGAGUGUGGUCCAACGUGUGCUGGACCAGUGCUCAACUAACAGCUCGACACUUUGUGGUCAGAAGGAGUGCAUGAGACAGCAAGACUGCGGCCCUGCUCAUCUAUGGGCGUAACAGGAGUAAUCCACCCCCCACCACCACCCCCGUCUGAGGCAUGGAGAUGAGGUCCUCUCACCUGUACGUGUAUCCUUCUACCUUGAGUGAAAUGACAGUCUGUAUCCGUCCUACCUCUGUUCUACUGCAAAAUAUGAUAAUAAAAAGCGUUCGAACCACA